rnacentral:misc_RNA from 1 species
UUUAUUUAUUUAUUUAUUUUAAUUUGUUUUUAAUUACUGUUGGACCAUUACUUAUAGAAAAUGUCAGAUUGCUGUUUAGCAGUCUCGCUUGUUAGCUUAACCUGUAAAUUGUGAAGUUCAGCAAAAAUUUUUGAAAGCCCAGCGCAAGCUGCUCAUCAUUCUUUAAGUUGAGUUUGUCUGCAUUUUCCCCUUGUUGCGAAAGUUUUGCUAUGCAGUAUAUUAGCUGCAGAUAGUUUCCAUGAGGUUCUGCUCCCUUAAUGUGAUGGAUAGCAUAUGCAAGGUCCAGGAACUAAGUCACUGGUCUGCUGGACGGGGCUCUGAGUAAUAACUGUUUCUGGCCUACAGCAACCUGGACAGUUCAUGUGCUCGAAUUUCUAAAACCCUCAAUCGCUGUUGCUCACUUUUAUCUUGCAAGUUUAGUUAAGAGAUCUUACUUUAGAAAAGUGCUAUUAGCUAUA